rnacentral:rRNA from 1 species
UCGAGGAUCUUCGUCAAUGGGCGCAAGCCUGAACGAGCGACGCCGCGUGAGCGAUGAAGGCCUUCGGGUUGUAAAGCUCAAAAGGGGUGAGAAAGGGAAACUUGAUCGAACCCCAGUAAGCUCGGGCUAAGUUCGUGCCAGCAGCCGCGGUAAGACGAACCGAGCGAACGUUGUUCGGAAUCACUGGGCUUAAAGGGCGCGUAGGCGGGUGCUCAAGUCCGUGGUGAAAUCCUCCGGCUCAACCGGAGAACUGCCUCGGAUACUGGGUGCCUCGAGGGUGGUAGGGGUAUGCGGAACUAUCGGUGGAGCGGUGAAAUGCGUUGAUAUCGAUAGGAACUCCGGUGGCGAAGGCGGCAUACUGGACCACCUCUGACGCUGAGGCGCGAAAGCCAGGGGAGCAAACGG